ensembl:misc_RNA Y_RNA Y RNA
GGCUGGUCCGAUGGCAGUGGGUUAUCAGAACUUAUUAACAUUAGCGUCACUAAAGUUACCACCCCCCCACUGCUAAAUCUGACUGGCUUUUA